GUCGGCUUCUUUGGAUUGGAAACCGCCUCCUUCUCGGGUUUAGAUCCCUGCGUUUCCGGAGGAGGUCGAGAUUAGCUAUCUGGCUUCUCUUAAGACUCGUGGUACGAUUUCAUGGGGAGAGGCUGGUUUUCCUCGGAGUUUCCAGAUCUGGCGAGAUCCGGUGAUUUAUUGAACGGGAUGCGGCCGUUUUCUAUCCCGGUGGAAGAAGGAUGUCGUAUUUACGAAUCAGGUUGAGGAAGGCUUGUAUACUUUGUUUCAUGUAAUACUGAGAAAUAUAGAUAGGUGAUCUACAUGUGGAUGAUCGAGAAGGAACGAGAGCUUGGAUUGUGGAUGAGGUAACGGAUGAUGUGCUAUAUGUUAUCCGAUAGAUGUUGUCAUCCCGGCCUUUGCCAUGUUGGGUGCGCUCGCAUGGCAGGCCAAACAUCCUUAAUAAAAUUAAUCUUUUUUGGGGGGGUGGGGGAAUCGUACGGGGUGUUUUUGAACCCUGGGUUCUCCCUUGUGCGUCGUCUCUUUAGUUAUGCCAUGCUCUCUGCAACUCUGGUCUUCUUACUACGAGCUCGCAGCUAAUGCUCUCUUCUCAACCAACUGACAUACAUCGUGUGAGGUAAAUUUAAACAAGCUUUAGUUACUACUAUCUGCAAAUCUCAGCCGUUAAUCAAAGAGUUUUAUAUAAAAAUUAAAGGUUUCUAAUGAUCGGCCAAACAUUUCAAUGGCGUAAAUUUCUUCUCCGAAGGUACUAAAUCACGAACUCAUUCUAUCUAUUAAGCGAAUUAUGAAUUCCGGCUCCAUCACACCAACAGUAAUUUUAUUUUUGAGAUGUUUUUUUGCGAUCUGUUGCAGCCCGAAAGAUCUGUUGAGAUCUACGAAAAUUCAAGAAGAUUAACAGUUUUAAGAGCAUAAAUAUUGAAGUUGAAAUCAGCUUUAUUAAGAUUUUUAAAUGAAUUUAAAAAUUACUUCUUACGGAACUAUGAAGAAUUUCUUCGCUCAGUAACAAAAGUUAUGAUUUAAACAUUAUCGAAUUACUUCAUGCAAUUUAUUUAUGGUGUUUUUGACCCAAGAUAGUUUGCUGUAUUGGCGAGGUGUAUUUUGCUGUUUUUCUUUUAACUUGUAAUCUAAAUCUGUUGUACAGGGAUGUGACUAUAAGAUAGUGUUUCAUUUCAUGACAUGCAAAUAAUAUAUGUAAUACUGUCUCUAAAGUCUAGUUUUUUUUAUAUUUUUCAAUGGAGUACCUGUCGGUAGUUUUUUGGCAAGAUUUCUCCUCAAGCAGAUGGUAAGUGCUGCUGCUGAGUACCGGAGUGUUGGAUGUGCUGCUGCUGCUUGGACAUACUCAAAAUAUUCAUGGGGUGGUAGAAGUUGAUGCUCGCAGAUAAGGAGCGGAAGGGAUUUUCAGUUCUGAAGCUUUAUAUGAUCGAUUGAUCGUUUUGGUUGAUUUUAAUUUCUUUUCAUUCUUUAAUUGUUUAAUUUUAUUUAUUUUUUCUUAAACAUUUUCUUAGUUAUUUCAUGCGGCGUGAUGCUGUUUUAAUUUGUUAUUUUAGCGAUUGUUAGUUAAUUUUUUAAACGGCUAA